AUACUUUAUUGGGUCAGUGUAAGGAUCAGAAUCUAUUAAUGCAUGUACUUUGAUGUUUGGAACACUGUAGGCACUUGGUACAUGCUCAAGUGGGUCCUAUUAUUAACUAAUAUUCUCAUUCCCAUCUACUGUGGUUUUCUACUCUCAAUGGUUCUUUCUAACCAGCUUUAUAUUCUGAAUGUUUUAAACCCCAAUUUUUACAAAUGGCCACCUUUGGGAGUGGAUAUUUCAAAUAUUCACAGUGUUUUUUAAGAGUGAGUCAUUUGGAGUGAGACCUUGGAACUUGACUUUCAGUAUUUUUACCAACAUCAAUCAUAAUUUAAGGAGGAGCAUAGUCAUAGACUCCUUAGAUCGUAGCCUUGCUGUAGUGAUUUAUUGAGUAUUUUGGGGUGGAAUUAAGUGAGUCAUAUAUGAAAAUGUCUAACAUCAUACAUAUUAGUCUUAUCAAAUGUUUGUUUCUUUUUAUUAAAACACAACACAACAAAAGCAAAUCAUCACCACCAACAAAAUACCUUCACGGUCAUUGAAUCUGAAAUCUGAAUCAGCUGGGUCAGCCUGGAGCCUUUGAAUGGUGCCUAAGAAGAGGGACUUACAUGACAUCAUUUACAGUAUGAUGAGCACUGAGCAAUGAGUGUGAUUUAUGAUACACACAUGAGCACACACACACACACACACACACACACACACACACACACACACACACACGUGCAUGAUCUACCACACACAUACAUGCAGAUCUAAAUCUAGGUGCAACCCUUACAGUUGCUCUAUGGAGUCAUACUUGGUGUGAUCUUUCCUAAGGUGAGGGACCCAAGAACUGCUUCUAAGGCCAGGGUUGCUCUUUUGAGUCUAUUUCUUGAGUCUGCUGUACGUCUAUGCCACCAGAGCUCUCAUUGUCCCUGAGGACUGGGUCUGUCCUGGGGGGCUCACCUGGUGAAAGACUCUGAUACUCAUUACAGCAUUUCUGUCUCUGGAGAAGACCCUGUGAGUUGAGGGUUUGUGCAGAAUGAGUGGGUCUCAUGACUCCAUCCUUUGCUCCACCCUCCUUCCAAAAGUCUACUGGAUCAGGCCUUUGGAUGCUAAGCAUUUUUGAACCAUACCUGCCAACCAAUGUGGCUUACAGUCUGGCUACCCCUUGUAGUCUGCUCUGCUACAAGAUUGGUUCCCCCUCUUGAGUUUCUACCCCCAGAACGUGUCUCCCCGGCUCCAAGUCUAGCAUUUGCCAACCUUUUGGGUUCGAGUUGACUGCUGAGGUCUUGGUGUGUGGCAAACCAUAUGGACUGCUUGACCAUCUGUGGGCAUUGUCUUCCUUGUGCUGGAGUUCUAGGCUGUGUACCAGGAGUGACCAGAAUAUCCUGAAGGUCCUCAGUUCAAAGAACAAAACUGUAUUCCAAAGAUGUUGCCAUAUAAGGGCAGCUUCAUUCUUAGAGAGGGCACAAAAGAAUCCAGCCUUGACUUUGGCUUCUUUGAUUUGGUUUGGAGUAGGGUUGCCCUGCAGGUGGGAAUUAGGGGAAUGGCAUGCUGUGACACCUCUUGGCUCCUUAAUGAGUGACAAGGGAUAGAAAGAAAACUGAUCUAGACAGAUAGGGCCUGUUGGUACAGAGGUCCUGUGGAAAUCAACCAAAAGAGAAGUGGAAUAAGCAGUGUGCAGUACCUGCAGGCAUUUUCAUAUAUUUGGUGACCAAAUUCUCCUUGUCUUUGAUUAAUGAAAUCCACGCCUCUUAUUUAGAGUUGAAUCUCAGUGAUGACCAAUCUGGGAGAAGGAUGGAGUUACUUCCUAACUUUAGAAAAAAAUGAGCAUGAAUGAGCAACUUUGACACAAUGGUGGCAGGUACAUGUUUCCAGCAUCCAACUGCUCACCCUAAGCCUCACCUUUGGCCUAUCGAGAGGCCCUUUCCCUGAGUCAGAACAGAGGUCAGCACCCUGACCCAAUCACUCCAUGGCCUUUUGGCUGACCAGAGGGUGCCAAUUAGGUCCCAUUGUGACGGAGGUGGGAGGGAAGUUUCUCCCAAUUCACUGACCCUUGAAGGAACUUCAUCACUUUUGUUUUGAGGCUGUGGGGGUGGGGGUGAGGCAGGGCACAAUCCCUUCAUCUGUCCAUAGUCAAGCCUGGUACAGUGACCGUGUCUGUCCUUGGCCUCAUAUCCUCAGGAUAGGUAGUACUUUCAUACCUCCUCUACAUAUCUCAAUCUGUGAUCUCACAAAGUAGGUGUCGGGAUGGGAAGAGGACAAGUGAAAUAUGCAUGCUGGCUCCUGGCACAACGUCUGUUUAGUUUUAGAAUCACAUUUACAGUGGUAAGGCAUGGCAGAUGUCAGCUCCACUGCCCACCACUCCUUGUCCGCUCCUCCCCUUCUUCUCAAUGGGGAACACAAUGAACUAAUUCCGUAAGAAGCAAUUCAGAGAAAUGUGAAAAUGUAAUUCACCCAGGGUUCAGCCGGCACGUCCAUCUUGUUCUAAAUCCAACAAGUUGGCCACAUGCUAGGGGCCCCAGUGUACCCUAAAAUAUAUUCAUUAAUUUCCAGAGAUUAAAAUCCAUGUGCUUAAAAAACACCCACAACAAAAAUACCAGCUGCCUUUUGAAAACAAGGGCAUUGGGAAAUGAAUGGAAUUGCGUGUUUCUGUUCUGUGUUCAAGAGCUUCGAUGGCUACUGUGUUACAUCAGGAACGGCCAGUGCCUGGACCCCACCCUCCCCCACUCCCUUUUAAUUCAAUGGCUACGUGGGGGCUUCUUUGAUGGAGGCUUUGAAGUCGGUGGCUUUGAGAUUACUCUUCCUCUGUGACCUUGACCACCAGCCACGAGGUAUAUGGAUACAGUGAAGUGUAGAAGAACGGUCUUGUUGAAUAAGAAGCACAGAGCUGGAUGUAAACAUAACCACAUGACCUCCUCGUCACUGCCUGUCUGUACAGACCUCCAGGUCUUCUAUGGUUGGUAUUGAGAUUAAAGGCGUGUGUCUCCAUGCUGGCUGUAUUCUUGAACACACAGAGAUCCACCUGGCUCUGCCUCUUGAGAGCUGGAAUUAAAGACAGAAUCUCACUGGCCUCAAACUAGCUAAGAAGAACAGGCUGGCUGGCCCAUGGGCCCUGGAGAUCCAUCCACCUCUGCCUCACCAGCACUGGAAAUUCAAGUACAUACCACCAUGCCUAUUUUUUUGUUUGUUUGCUUGUAUUUUAACACGGGGUUGAACUCAGGUCCUCAGGCUUCCAAGGCAAACACUUCGCCAUCAGAGCCAUCAACCCAUCUGGAAGCUGACCCUUUUGUGAACAGCCAAUUGUGGAAAAGCAGUCCACACAGGGUCAGGGAAACUUACAAUGUCGAAUACACAAUGACCUCACACAGAUCAUUAAAAAUGUCAGCAUCCUAGACAAAG